GCUGACUUUGAUGAGCUUCAUCAUCAUUGCACUGGUUCCCGGUCAGCCAGCGCGAUAAUCCCCUUCGUAAUGAGAGCAUAGUCACUCGGAAUCAGUGCAAAAAUCGGAAGCGAAACGGAUUCGGUAUGCUACAAAAAAAAACGCUUUGGACGGGAUACUUGAUGGAAGGGCGAAGCUUUUCUCUAGUAGCCGGUGUUUAUGAAUGAGCAUUCAUGAAAAUGAGAAAACAAAGAAACAAUUAAAAUUAAGCGUGUCGGAAACAACAGAUCCAGGCAAAUAAACACCCAGUUUAUUAAGUUCAUGACAUGCUGUGGAAAAUUCGAUGCUAUGAAAAAAAUAAACUACAAAUAUCGUGCUUCUGUUGGAGUUUCGCAACACUACAGAAUAAUUACAAACCAUAUAAAAACAAGACAAAUAGAUCCUCGUAUAAGAAUUGCAUGUGGUUAUUUAAAAUGUUCGUUUCUGAACUACCCUGGCACUGGAGUCCCUAACAACCUUCGGAAGCCAAAGUCACGUCUGCGUUGACGUCGCUUUAUGGUGUAUAAUUAUUCAUCACGAGAAGUGAGGUAGGUUUUUGUGGUUUUCCUCCCCACCACGUCUGUUGCUGCUGCUGAGUUUUCAGCUUUUUUUUAUCGGCCAGUCCGUUGCAAACUCUCCGUAGGGAAAUGACUUGUAAUUAUCAAGAAGUUAAAACCAACCUCCGGAAAAGUAGCAGUAGAAGUUAGGAAGAAGAUUACCGAAAUUAGACCGACUGAAAUAAUAAUAUAAGAAAAUUGAGGGUGCGUUCGGUCGGAACCGUGACCGGGAAUUCUGUCGUUAGAUGUGGUUCGGUGAGUAGCCAAUGCUGGGUAAUGUGGUGACAACUAUGCAACGCAACAGCGAACGUUGAAGCAUUAUUUCUGUUGACGAACUAGAACGACUAUUUCUAUGGUUCGAAUACCAAACGUCAACAGAAUACGAGACCUGGAUUCGAAAGAUACACUCAUUUGUAGGUACGUUUUGUGUGUCGGUAAAAACUACUGAAAUUUCACUAGAAAUUUGCUAACAAUGUAAUGCACACCACCACUAAUGAGCAACAGACAGUUAGAAAUGCAUGAAACAGCGAAAAAUAAAAAUUCUGCGAAAUAGUACCCGGGUAGAAGUGAUUUGCAAAACAAUAACAAAUUUUAUUAUUAGAACCGAACAUCUCAAUGGUAGAAAUAACCAUUAUUCAGUUUGAUAUAAGAGUUAAAAUAUAAAAAUUCAUAACAAAGUCUUCAUGAGAAA